CGUAGAAUUUGCAUUUCCUACUCUACCUGUAGUAAGAACAUUUAAGAAAAUCUCAGGGCUAUGACACAAUAUUGUCAAGUGUAGUCACUCACCAUGCCUAGGAGAAGCGUAGCCACAGUGUCGGGCAUGGCAGCGGGGACAGAAAGCUGAGAGUCUCAGCAUGACACAGAGAGGGCAAGCUGGAAGCUGCAUGAUGUUUUAAACCCUCAAAGCCAGCCUCCAGUGAUGUACCUCCUCCCACAGGCUAUACAUUCUGUACCUCCCCCAAACAGCAACGUCAACUGAGGACCAAGUGUUUAAACAUUUGAGACUGGAGGAUCUUCUCAUUCAAACCACCAUAGGGUUGUACCUUGGAUUCCACACAGAGAUGAUAUCAAGUCAUAUCUAUUUUGCAGAGUCUGGCUUAUCAACAUAAUGUGCCCAGCAUCAUCCACAUGGAGGCUUUAGUUAUAAUCCCCGUGCACUGGUUUGGACCCUGGAAUUCGUUUGAAGAGAUGUAGAUCAUCAGCUGAGUGCCAUGUGCCAACCGUGAGACCCAGACUGAUGUUCGACAUGUUUGUAGUUUUGGGGAAGUUCAGGCCAAGAACCUGGAAACACCUGGCCCAGAUCCUGACUGCUAUCAACACACCAACUUUGCCCAGCUUGAAAACAAAGCAGAGCAAAACAAGACAAAGGCAAAGACAAACAACAACAACAACAACAACAACAACAACAACAAAUCCCCCAAAGACCAAAACCAAAACAAAAAACCCACCAAAACCUCUGUUCCUUUUGUGUUUUAUUUUCCUCAUUAGUCAUUCCUGUUAGUGAGCACACACACGCCACGCCUCAUCAAAACAUACUGUACCUUAUUUCCAUGUCACCCCCUCCCCACUUAUUCUUCUUCUGAACAAAAACACUCUAUUCACAUUUUCUCCCUCCUCCUAGUCUUCCUCAGGUCUACUCCAGGCAAGCUCACACCCCACCACCAAGGAAACCCUUACAGUGAAGCUUCCGGCGACCUCUGCACUGCCAAGGCCCACUCUGAAGUCCCAGCUCUUGUCUUGGUCAACGAGUCACAGUCACUGACUUCGGGGGCUGAUGAAUCCCUCCUGUCCUGAAACACUUGCUUCUCUUGGCUCGCUCUCGGGACUCUGAACUCUUGCAUCUCUCUGGCCAUGUCCUUUUGCCUCCUUGUGCUUCCCUAGACUCCAAUAGAUGGUGAUUUUCCAUGUCUCAGUCCUUGACCUUUCCUGUCAAGGCUUACUCUCUGGUUGACAUCAUGCAGUCUCAUGGUUGAAGCCUCAUCUAUAUUUGGAUUCUCUUGGUUCCGAGUUUCUAUCUUUAGCCUGAACUUCUUCCUUUAACUCUCUGCUUGCACAUCCCAUGGCUUCCUUACUGUCAGUACCUUGCAGCUAGUAGAACUCAUAGUGCACUCUGUCUGAGCUCCUGACAGUCCACACUUCCACUCGCCUCCAGCAGCCUGUGCUUUGUCUGCUGACUCUAUUGUCACCCUUCUUUUUUGUUGUCACAUUGGAAAUUCUUUUGGUUUCACUUUCAAGACCUCCCCAGAAACCACACACUUGUCGCCAUCUGACAGGCUACCUCUAUCCUGGUCUAAAACCUGUCAAUUGCCUAUGAACUAAACAAACAGCCUGCACAAGUACAGACCCUGAAGUCCCACCAUGCAGACUGGAUGCAGUGGCUCUGCCAGUAAAGAAUGACCUGAGCAAGGUGCUCAACUCUGCUUCUCCAGGUUCCUCACUGGGAAGACUGGGAUCCUAACAAUAAUGCUGCUACUAUGACUAGAAGUUGUGGAAAGUAUUAA
ensembl:lncRNA